UACGAAGGGGGCUAGCGUUGUUCGGAUUUACUGGGCGUAAAGCGCACGUAGGCGGAUUGUUAAGUCAGGGGUGAAAUCCUGGAGCUCAACUCCAGAACUGCCUUUGAUACUGGCAAUCUUGAGUCCGGAAGAGGUGAGUGGAACUCCUAGUGUAGAGGUGGAAUUCGUAGAUAUUAGGAAGAACACCAGUGGCGAAGGCGGUUCACUGGUCCGGUACUGACGCUGAGGUGCGAAAGCGUGGGGAGCAAACAGG
rnacentral:rRNA from 1 species